rnacentral:rRNA from 1 species
UAGGGAAUUUUCGUCAAUGGGCGCAAGCCUGAACGAGCAAUGCCGCGUGAGUGAGGAAGGUCUUCGGAUCGUAAAGCUCUGUUGCGGGGAAAAAGGAAGCAGAAAGGAAAUGGUCUGCUUUUGAUGGUACCCCGCCAGAAAGUCACGGCUAACUACGUGCCAGCAGCCGCGGUAAUACGUAGGUGGCGAGCGUUAUCCGGAAUGAUUGGGCGUAAAAGGGUGCGCAGGCGGCGCGUCAAGUCUGAAGUAAAAGGUACAGGCUCAACCUGUGCAGGCUUUGGAAACUGGCGCGCUCGAGGACAGGAGAGGGCGGUGGAACUCCAUGUGUAGCGGUAAAAUGCGUAGAUAUAUGGAAGAACACCAGUUGCGAAGGCGGCCGCCUGGACUGUUACUGACGCUGAGGCACGAAAAGCGUGGGGAGCAAAUAGGAUUAGAUACC